GUGAUAUAACUUGCAGACCAGGCAAAUUUUCCUUGUGAGAAUGAUGAUAGAGAUGAAAUCCGAAGGUUUACUUUUAGUAAAUGAAGUGGGAGAGGAAGAGUGUCCCAGGCAGAGACAACAGCCUGGCAGCUCUUUGGGGGCUGGAAGAAGACCAUGAAGCUCUAAGUGCUUUGGAGGAAUGGGUUUACUAAAAUAGAUGUGAGAGGCCCAGGGAGGAGGCUGGGCCAAUGCUGAAGAGUGUUAUUUUGGGACUGAGUGCAGAUAUGAGAGAUGUGUG